rnacentral:rRNA from 1 species
ACAUCGCCUCUUGAUCAAUUAUAAGAGGUCAAGCCUGCCCAGUGACAUUGUUCAACGGCCGCGGUAUCCUAACCGUGCGAAGGUAGCGUAAUCACUUGUCCUUUAAAUAAGGACUAGUAUGAACGGCUUCACGAAGGCUAUACUGUCUCCUUAAUCUAAUCAAUUAAACUAAUCUCCCCGUGAAGAAGCGGGAAUUCGUCUAUAAGACGAGAAGACCCUAUGGAGCUUUAAACAUCUAAGACACUUGAUUUUUCCUACUAAACUUCAUGCAACCUAUCAUUUUGUCUUAAGUUUUAGGUUGGGGUGACCACGGAGAAAAAUUAAACCUCCACGUAGAAAGAAAAUUCUUUUCUAAGCAAAAAGCCACAUCUUAACGCAUCAAUAAAUUGACUUAAAUUGACCCAAUUUCUUGCUCAACGAACCAAGUUACCCUAGGGAUAACAGCGCAAUCCGCUUUAAGAGCUCCUAUCGACAAGCGGGCUUACGACCUCGAUGUUGGAUCA